rnacentral:rRNA from 1 species
UUGGAGGGCAAGUCUGGUGCCCGCAGCCGCGGUAAUUCCAGCUCCAAUAGCGUAUAUUAAAGUUGUUGCAGUUAAAAAGCUCGUAGUUGAAUUUCGGGGUUAGUAGGUUGGUCAUGCCUCUGGUAUGUACUGGUCUCACAGAUUCCUCCUUCCUGAUGAACCGUAAUGCCAUUAAUUUGGUGUUGCGGGGAAUUUGGACUGUUACUUUGAAAAAAUUAGAGUGUUUAAAGCAGGC